UAACUGCGCGUCAUAGUGUGAACUGCAGGACACAUUUGAACAUCGACAUUUCGAACGCACAUUGCGGUCCGUGGAUACACAUCCAGGACCACUCCUGUCUGAGGGCCGGCUGCAUAAAAACAAAACCACAUUGCGCGCUGUAAAAUGCGCGCAGUUGACGGUUCUCGUCGAGUCUCUCUUGCGAAAGGGGGGCGAGACGAGUCCGUUUAAAAAUUGGAAACAUUAUACGUUGGAUUGAUUCAUUGACACUCUCUGCUGUCGACGGAUUUGCACAACACACGAUGUGUGAUUCAAUUGCGUGUUGCGUUGUUGUGCAUGAUUUAUGUUCGAUUGCGCGGAGUUGUGUCAAUUUCCUCGUGUAGUAGGCGGACUCGACGUCCGAAGGGCGUAUCGGCGCGGUGCUCUCGCGAGCGCUUCGUCGUAGCGUCGUAACGGAUAUCGUGUCUGCCUCCCAUUUUAUACGUUGGCCUCAGAUCAGGGAGGAUUACCCGCCGAAUUUAA
rnacentral:rRNA from 1 species